UGUUUAUCCAGGGUUCCUUAAUACUCACUGCAUAUUCAACCACAGAUAUCAGUGGAGGUUCAUGCCAAGCUACCAGCUGAACCAAGUCAGAUCAGCUGUGCUUUUUUACAAUUAUAAAAAGACAUGAAUCAGGUAAAGGGGUUUUUCUUUUUUAGAACCUGAAGUGAAGACAGAGCUUUUUAUCCCAGAGUUUUCCCAGGGUGAAGCAUGCCUCUAAUAUAGAAAGAGAAUACCUUAAAAACAAAUAAUCAGCAAAACAAAGCCUUCCUGUAAAACUUCUAUUUACAGGAACGUUCUGUGUGAGGUGGCACAAAACAUGAUUGCCCUGAAGAGUGAGAGGUUCUUUGGGCACCUGCAAUCUGCACUAACAGGUCACUUGAGGAGAGCUGACAAGAUCUGCAGAAGUUUGUCAGAUGUCUUACAGAAGUCUGCCCAGAUGAGCAGGUCCAGGAGAACAGCUGGUUGUGAUGGACCCUUUGCUACCCCAGGCACCACUACAGCAACGCCAAGAAGCACUGCCAAGAGUGCAGAAAUCAGGCUACCUUCAAUACCAAUUUCCUUCCCUCCUUUCCAACUCAUUUUGAUCUGACCUUAAUAUCCCAGACAUACCUGCUGUCCCUUGAAAUGUCCAAUCUCCUGGACCUGAUUCUGGCUCUUGGUUUUCCUAUUCCUCUGCAACAAUGAAUUCCUUAAUCUGACGCAUCUCUUCUCAAUGAA